rnacentral:rRNA from 1 species
GCGACCGCCGCACGAAUUUGUUACGUUUCAGCUUGGCUUACGUUUGUUUCGAACCCACCGAACACAACAUCUCGCGCGUGCCCACUCAUUAACA